UGCUGUGAGGAGCUGCCCCUGAGAAACUACCAAGAAGGUAUGAAAGCUGUGCAAUAGAAUGGCAACAACCAUGUUUUAAGCUUCUUGAGAGUUUGCAGAAUGAAAGAAAAUGUGAGUUCUCAGUCAUGCCUUUAAUCUGUAGAACGCACAAGAGAAGCCCAGGUCCCUCCUGAGAGUUUUCUGGGAUUCAGCUGGACUUACCUAAAGACAGUGGAUCCAAGUGACAUGCAGAGCUGACUGGAAUGUCAGCUGCUUACAUCUCCAGCAUCUCUGCAAGAUGAUCGUGUGUCCAUGGUGACACUGUGGCAGAAACAUUUUAUAAAGCAUCAGCAUUACCUUCAAGAUUUUGGCUACUCUUAAUGACAGGUACUUACAGAAGGGCAAGGACAUAAAGUGCAAAACUAAUGCAUGGCAAGACACCACCAUGGAGAGAAAAAAGCUGCUGAAAUAAGAUUUUGAAGAAAUUUUAGUUUCAGAAAAAAAUGGCUGGGUCUACAUUAUCAAGCUGUGAGCCCAGUAUGAAGGCAAAGUGAUGUUUUAGCACUUGGCAUCUACACUGUACACCUGCCUCAGGCUGGCACUGGUGCUGUGGGUUGGAUGUCUGAUAGCAAUUAGGACAAAUUAAGUGCUGACAUAUUAUUCUGGUGUAAUGAUUUCCUAAAGGACUGCAGUUUGCCUGUUAGGAGCCCCAUCUGCAAUCUGAAUCUGUGUCUGCGUGGUGAUGAUAAGGAGAUCCACUGAAGAAGUGCACUGUUGGGCUGAACUGAGGCACUGAUGGAAAUCACCUGGGAAGGGAGCUAAUGUCCUCGGACUGGGUGGAGAACAGCAGUGGGUUUACUGCCACAGCAAAGCACACAGUCGGAUCUCAGCAGGUACAAGCCAGUCUCUAAUAUAAGUAUCCUGAAACACAUUUGCUGAAGAUCUGGUCUGAUAUUCUGUUUUUAAAAAAAUCUUUGCGUACUAGAGUGGACGAGGCAUACUAGCAUUUGUCUUUUUCUGGUGCCUGUCUGGUUUGACUUAGGGUUUUUAGCACUUUUUAGCACUUCAGUGUCAGGCUGUGUUUUGAUUCCCUUGAUGAGGUUACGCACAGCAUACCUGACCCUGCAUUGCCUUCCUGCACCCUUAAAACAAAGAUCUUGGAAAGGACUGGAAACCUAAAGGAAAAGUCUCUGAAUUCCAAAGCCAAUUCAGCCCCAUUUCAUGGGAAGGGUAAAAUGAAGGGUAAAUGCUCCACUUCGAAGCUUCUUUUAUGUGUUUGAAUGAGCAAAGCUGUGAAAGCUCAAUCUGUCCUGCACCAGUGAUAUGAAGAGGUCAUGAAAGUAAAUCCAUUUUAGAGAUGAAUCAGUUCUGGCAACUGUCCCCAGGCACAGGUCAGCAAACACAGGAUGGACAGGCAUUCCAGGGCUCUUUGAGGCAAUAAUUCCUUGAAAAACAGCACUGGGACAAUGCUCACUUCCUUGUUGCUUAUCUGCUUUGAUUGUAGGUAGCUGGCACAGAGUUCAGUUUCACCUUGGCUCUAGGCAAGACAGAACUGCCAGACAAUGACAGUUUUCAGAUGAGAAGCUUGGGGAAAAAAUAAUUAAAAAAUUAUACUUACAGUCCCUCUGAGAGACAUCCUCUUUGUGCCAAGCGUUAAUACACAGCCAGAACAAGUCUUUUCUUUUUACACAUUCCUGCUGGCACUAUAAGGCCCCAAAAUAAAAGUCUGUUGUGGGGAAAAAAGAGAGAACAGAAGCAGAAAAUAUGAAAAAUUGUCUUGUUUUGUAGGGACACAAAACAUUUCUGAUCCUUCACUGAUCACACUUAGAACUGUAAAUAGGAACCUGCUGAAAUGGUCAGGUGGAAAAGCUGCUCCAUUUAGAGAAAAUUCAUGAGAACUGAAGAAUGUUGAUCCCAACAUGGGGAAAAAAAUGUAGAAAACUAGUCUUUGUGUCAGCUGCCACUGUGAAAUUUCUGUCUUCUUGUAGACAGGGCACAAGAGAAGUUAAAGGCUUUGGUGUUUCUUUCAUUAGCAUUUGUCCUACAUUGACCUCAGUGAAAGGCUAAGAACCUGAUGUUAAUCUAAGCUGUACAGAAAUUAAUUCUAAAUCUGAAUUUCAGUGGCAAUUAAUGCCUUAUUUUCCUUCAUCAGAACCAAAUGCCUGUCAAAACUCAGAAACUCUGAGUUAAGUACAUAAGCAUAGUAUGUAAAUAAUAAACUUUUGUCUUUUGUGUCUGUUGACUGUGAAGCUCUGGGACAACAUAUGAGUAUUAUACCUUCUUCAUUCUCAGUUAUCAGACACAAUCUCAGACUUCCUUUUUGUAGAGACCUUGGUCAAAAAUCACACACAGAACCACAACAACAGAUUUUUUUUCACAUCCACUUGUUGUUAUAUGCUUCUUUAAGUAAAGUUUUAAUGUCUAAAAUAGGAGUGAUGCUGGGAAGCCAAAUUUUUCAAGUUCUAAUUGAUGUCAGCACCCUUGUCCUCUUUAAGAACUGUGAAUGUUGCCUCCUCUUGGAUUGUUCAAAUGUGUAUUUUAGGUUGCUUUUCGUCUUUGGUGAAAAAUUCUCUUCAGCUCUUAGACUAAUAAAUUAGGUAGCUCACAGAGAACUGUCAUUCUGAGUUGGGAUAAUUUUUUUUUUUUGUGCAGCUCAUUUCUCUUUAAGCACAGCUGCUGGAGUUCAGUAGAGCAAUCUCUAACAAAGUCAUCUGAAGAAAAAAACCCAACAAUAUAGCUGCUAGAAAUGUUAGCACUUGGAUUAACACACUCAGUUUUAGCUGGAAGAAAUCUGGCUAAUGGGCUUCAGGACUCUUAGGAAGAGAAAAUUGUAAGACAGGAGCAUUCUCUAAGAGCAGAAGUCCUUGGUAUUGCAAAAGAUAGCUAAUAUUCUUCCUGGCUUUGGAAUGGAUUUUGAGCUUUCUCUGUUGUGUCACCUCUUGCCUCACUUGCUGACCUAGUCUCAUCUGUCCAACCAAGUUUGUAAAUAAACAUAUUUGUCCUUCUCACACAGGAAAUUCUAGGACAGACAACUUGUGUCAGUAAAUUAAAACAUUCCUGCUGAAGCAAAGGAAAAGCUCUUCUAAGUUAAAAUAACCUUCUAGCAAUAAAUUUACUUGCCAGUAGCAUGCUUUUGAUAACCUAAGUAAAUAAAUAAAUAACAGUGAAAACUUGACCCACACAGAUGCAACGUAGCUUAAAUUGUAGAAGAUAUUCAGUGCUUGACAGAUCUUGGUGUUACAGGCUGCCUGUUGUCUCUGUUGGCCUCAAAAAGGACCCACCACAAAUUCUGCAGUUUCCAGAAAUUCAUUUGCCUGAUCUGUGUCUGUUGCAUGUUGUGGCUUCUCCAUUUCUCUCCUCACAAGAAUUUGUACACCAUGUCCUGGUAGACAUCCUGUUGUCCACCAGCCAGCAAGUGCUCGUGCAGGGCAUAUAAAUAAUCCUAAAACAUGAGAAAAUUUGAAAGCAGAUUAAAACUUUAACACCCUUGUCUGGUUUCUGUGCAAAUGAGCUGUGCACAGUCCAUUGUAAUGAUGUCCCAAGGUUCGUUCUAAUAUCUAAGAUACUUUAUCUUCAAUAUAAAAGAUGGGCUGUCUGCAGACCAUGUACCUUGGGUCUAUCUGUGUAUCCUGAAUAUUCAAACCCCUCUCAGCAUGAGCCUGAAGUUGCAAUCAUGCAGCUUUACUCCCUGAAGGAGUUGCCACACAGAGGGUGAAAUUCAGGUACCUCACAGUCUGGAGGUUGGGCAUUCUAUCUGUAGCAGUCAUCUAAGCAAAUAUUCACCAGAGGAAACCUGGUGGAACAAAACAUAAGCUAGUUGUCUAGAUUCUCCACAGCUAGUAGAGAGAAAUAGAUUACCUCUUGCUUUAAGGAAGAUGUUUAAAACCAUUAGCUGUGUCAUUCUUUAGAGGUGCUUGUUUCCUUCCCUUGCCUAUAAAAAUAUUCUGAAUAAUUAACUCUGAUACAGAUGUUUAUUAUAUAGAUGUCUAAAAUUAGAUAAACUGACUAUUGCUAUUGCCAGGGCUCAUGAACCAGGAUGUCAAGGGAACCUUGGUGGUUUUUUUUCAUUUGAUAACUUGCUCUGAACAUGCCAUCACCAUCAUUAAGCCAUCCCUGAGAGUCCUCAGGCAGGAACACAAUUAGGGACAAUAUGUCACUUAACCUAAAACCUAAUCUCCAAACUGCCUAUGCACAGCAGUGCAGCAGCACAACAGUCCUUGAGAGUGGAUAAGCUCAAGCACCAACCACCCAGACUUAUCCUCUGCCUUUUCCACCCAUCUACAUAAAGGGAAAGAGAUUAUUUUCUUGUCCAACAAUCCUUCCAAAAUUUGCGAUCAAGUCUUUGCUGUGCUGUUGAACAUCUCUUUGAACUCAGGCAAGUCUGUCAAACCCCCAUUCCAAAACAUUCAGGGUUUAGCCUCCUGCUGGAGUUAAUGACUGCUGGUUGCCUGAGAAGCUUUGAAGGUCAGAGGACUGCUCAAACUCGUGUAAUCCUCAGAGCUGUGCGAGAGCAGCGUUCCUCAGAACUCGUGCCAUUAGAAAUUACUUUACUUCACACCUCUCUGAGUUGUUCUCACACAAAUAUUUUAUGAUUUAAGACAAAAUACCAGCUAUCUAAAUGAAAGGAAUCAGGCAGGUGUUUAGGUAAAGGCGGAAGAGCGAUGCAAAUGAGGUGUGAUAGACAGUGCACGACAUUUUUCGAAGUGUUAGUCUACCAAUUAACUGGAGAAAUAAAGGCAACCAUUAUGUAAUUUUAUGUCAAAUAUCUCUCAGUUAUAAAGAGAAAAUGGAGGCUUCUAGAAAUACAGGACUUAGUCUCCAAAGAAUGGGUCUGUUUGGGAUGAGAAA